GAUUGGCGCUCUCCUGCAGCACCAGCAAGGUGCAGCAACUUGGCUAGGUGGAGAUUCACUGCAGCUGCGCCCGGUUCCACUGUGUCAUGCCUGCAGCCUGCAGCCAGCAUGGAGAUGGACAGCUUAAGUCGCUCUGAUCAGCAGUAUGAGUGCCUGAAGGAGAUCCACUAAGGCGCCUAAGGGAAGGUGUUCAAGGCCCGCGACUUGAAGAAAGGCUGCCUCUUCAUGAAUCUGAAGCACUUGUGAGUGCAGACCAGUGAGGAGGGCAUGCAGCUCUCCACCAUCCUCUAGGUGGCAGGGCUGAGGCACCAGGAGAAUUCCAGCACCACAAUGUGGUCAGGUUCCCCCCCCCCUUCAGCUUUAUCAAGCUUUCCAACAACAAGGGUUAGCAGCUUUCCAUAAUUCAACCACAGGGGUCAGCACACAACCAAUGGUUAGAAGCACUGACCACCAGAGAACUGCUCAACCUGAUAUACAACUUCAGUACGGUGGCUGGAUAUUAAUUAUAUCAAACAAAUUAGUAUCCUUAUUUUACUCAAAAAAUAAAGAGGCUGAGAAAGAAAUUAGGGAAACCACAUCCUUCUCAAUAGUCAC
rnacentral:lncRNA from 1 species